rnacentral:rRNA from 1 species
UACACUCCUACGGGAGGCAGCAGUGGGGAAUUUUGGACAAUGGGCGAAAGCCUGAUCCAGCAAUGCCGCGUGAGUGAAGAAGGCCUUCGGGUUGUAAAGCUCUUUUGUCAGGGAAGAAACGGUGAAAGCUAAUAUCUUUUGCUAAUGACGGUACCUGAAGAAUAAGCACCGGCUAACUACGUGCCAGCAGCCGCGGUAAUACGUAGGGUGCAAGCGUUAAUCGGAAUUACUGGGCGUAAAGCGUGCGCAGGCGGUUUUGUAAGUCUGAUGUGAAAUCCCCGGGCUCAACCUGGGAAUUGCAUUGGAGACUGCAAGGCUAGAAUCUGGCAGAGGGGGGUAGAAUUCCACGUGUAGCAGUGAAAUGCGUAGAUAUGUGGAGGAACACCGAUGGCGAAGGCAGCCCCCUGGGUCAAGAUUGACGCUCAUGCACGAAAGCGUGGGGAGCAAACAGGAUUAGAUACCCGGGUAGUCCCAU